GGGGCCUUAGCUCAGUUGGUAGAGCACCGCCUUUGCAAGGCGGGUGUCAGGGGUUCGAUUCCCCUAGGCUCCACCC
rnacentral:tRNA from 1 species